UAAUAAGUGUUUUAUGGCCACCUUUUAAAUCCAUAUCCACCUUGUGUGCAAUGUCGGUCGAUCUUCUUUUUUUGAGAUCGACCAAACAUCAACCUUUAUUUUUAACUCUUUGUCUGAAAAUAUUACGAAUAAACAAUUCAAAAUA
rnacentral:misc_RNA from 1 species